ACUCCAGAAUUCUGGCUAUAAAAGCUCCACUAGCCAAAGGGUUCCCAUUGCCUCACAUACGUGAUGUAUUCCUUGGGUGGGCAGCCUUACAGGCAUGCUUGUGUCAGCACAGGGCUUACAGUUUCUACGCCACUUGGGAUCGCUCUCCUGACACCCUAGGAGAGGGGAUGACAGGAGCAGCUCCAGCUCACUCCACACAACGUCAACUAGCUUAACUCAAACCACUAAUUUAAAAGGUUACUGCUAAUCAUUUAACUUCUCUGCCAGUGGAUCUAAAGGGGCAAUAACUGCUGGAAAAGAGACAUUAUGAAUACCCAGGACCUAUGGUGUCUUCCACUGGCACAGAUGGAUCCAAAAAAGGGCACAUGUCCUAGGCUUUUGUCCUCAGUCAGAAUCCUACUCUGAGAGACUUAAGUCUCUUAGAAAGUAUGAGCAGCAUGGGAAACCAGUGUAAGAGAAUUUCCAAACUGGAAAAAAUUAAAUCCUUCCCGCAUGCACAGCUUUUCUGGGCUCUCUUUGUCAGGAGAAGGAAGCAAGCACUCAGGGAACCAGAUUAGGUUUGCAACUGACCUGCCUACUAACCCAGACAAGGCACCACACUACUUGCAGAAGAGAAAAUACAGACCUAUAAGCACUGUGACUCAGAUUAUCAGUGUAUUCAUAGCAAGUACCAAGGUUUCAGAUGCACACAAAAGAAUUACAAGAAAUGAAUACGUUCUAGGAAACCAUAACCUUGCUGCUCCCUCUGCCUUGGCCCAGCCCCACAAGCUUCAUCCAGCUGUUGCUGGUGAAAGCUGCUGUGAGAAGCAGCAGGAGUGCUACUCACAGCUGGCUCUGGAUGCUGGGAGCCUGCCUGAAAUACAGAAAUAAACCACGGCUGGAAAUGACAGUCAGCAGCAGGACUUCCUGACCUCCUCCCUCCAUAACCCUGAGAUGGGCUCAGCUGUUAGGUUCCCUCUGGCUCUCGCAGAGCACUUCAGGAGCAGUCAGAGAUUAAUGCUUUAGAUACUGGGUUAUUGUUGUUGGUUAUAUUAUUACGUUACUUAUGAUAUGUUUAUACCAUUGGGAUACAACCCCCUGAACUGAUUUCAUAAAGAUAAUGCCCUGCCUACAUCUACACCCUAACCUCAGCUCUUUGAUCAUGUGCUUCCAUUGCUCUUCCUGCACUUACCUGGCACUCACCUGACCCUUGGGAAGCCCAUUCAUCACACUGAACUUGCAGAAUAUCAACCCCCCAAAAAGGAGGGAGAAAGUCUGUAUCAUGAAUCAUGAGGCCAGGCACAGAAGAAUGGGAUUUUGCCUUUCAGUGGUGGCUGUUGUACCAGCCUACCUGGGAAAUCACUGACAAGUGUCAGCUGCCAUGGCCAGUAAGCUUAUAGUGUUUCUUCUGUAACUGUACUAAAAAUAUCCUUCUGCUCUGAGCAGCAGCUAACAAAUGGUUAGCAGCGUGCUUAUUUCUGAGAAGCAUUUUCAGCAAAACUUCACAAGUCAGAUGGCAAUUCCAAUAGAUGCAAAAUGAUGUCAAAAUCAGCAGUAAUAGCUUGUUAUUCCUUUUCCUGACUCCCUAGCAUACAAACAGCAUGCUGUGUUCUUCUAUAGGAAUGUGGCAAAAACACCUCUGUUCAGUGGGUUUUUCAGGCUCUGAAAUAGCAUUCCUGAAGCUGAAUUGAGGUUAUGGGACAAUGAAAAGAUACAAAAUAUAAAUUAGCAGAUCUACUGUACACAGAAGAGGUGGCCAAUCUUUAUCAACGUCAUUUAAAAAAAAAAUCAAAGGGAACAGGUGACGCGUCUUAUUCCUUCCCCUUUUUAAAAAAAAAAAAAAAAAAAAGAGAGAGAGAAAGCAAUUAAAUGUCUUUGUAUUUCAAAAGGAACAUUUUUCUUAGUGGACAUCUUCUGAAAUUUACUACAUUGCAAUACUCCCAUGCAACUGUAAAAAACACCACUUCUUGCUGUAUCAGAACUUGAAACUUUGCACAGGAGUUACAUCAAUGAUCAAACCUUGUCAACCUGAAAAACCCAAAAAGAAAUCCAGUCUUUGCUCAGCCUUGAGAGGACUUUUUCGUUCUGAUAUUACUUAAUUAAAAGAAAGAAAAAAAAAUGUUAUAUCUGGCUUCUAAAAUCUCAGUUUAAUUCUACCAUAUUAGGAAGAAUUGAAAAAUAAUGUAAGUAUUGUUACUCCCAUACGACACCAUGUGGUUAAUGAAACCAUAAUUAAUGGAAAAUAAUUUGCAUACUAAGCUACUGGAGAUUAAACCCACACUGUACGUUAAGAAUUCAGGAAUUUCACCACUUUUCUGAUUUGUAGUUAUGUGUUCACUUCCCCAGAACAGUCUCUUCCUAUAUUCAAAAAGGGUGAGGGAUGCCUUGAGUGCAGGAUGGUGACACUCCUGUGACAACAGCCCCUUAGAAGGGCAGCAGCGACAACAGAGGUGAAACCACCACAGCUUGGGUAGGGAUGGGAAGCUGUCCUCUGGAGCCCACACCACACACUGUGCCUCAGGAGGAGGGCUGUCUGUCAGAAGCUAUGGAAAGAAAAUGCUGGGCUCCAUUCAUGGAGCAGGAAGGACUGGCAGUAGCACAGCAGGAAAAUCAGACAGUGGAAUAAAUUGAGCCUUUUCAACGUCAGUCAGCAAACACUUUUUCACCUCUCAGAGAAGCUGCAAAGCCCUGCCAGAUGCUCUGUCCAUCAUGGCUCAUGAACUCUCAGCCUCCACAAAGCAAAGAGCUCUCCCCACUAACGAACUUCAGGGAGUGUACCAUAACCAGUAUUGGGUUGUUCAUCUUUUUUUUUUUUUUUUUUUUUUAAUCAAAUAUGAGCUGUGGCAUUUUGUUGCACUAACUCCAUUGGAAGAACAGUAUUGGCAUUUGCACUGUCAGUUCUCAACAUAACCAACCUAUAGCAAGAAAUAAUCAGACUGAAUCUGCCAGAAUCUCCACUGCAGACACAAGUAAACUAAACAGGAGACUGACAUCCUCUCAAAAGGACUACAGAUUGGCUAAACAGCUCAUCAUGCAGUGUUCCAGGGUCCCUUUGCAGGAACAGUGUCAAGAGACCCUUCUCUUCCACUCCACUGUCACUUGUUAGAAAGCAUUGCAGCAGGAAGCUUCCAACAACUAACAGCAAUUUUGAUUCUGCAAUUGCUCCACUAAGGGAAAUCUUAUGAGUCAUCAGUUUUACUCCAGCUUUAUAUUCUGGAUUUUUGCCUGGGUGAUGUUCAACCAGGAACAAAAUCUAUUUAAAGUACAUGCACAGUACAUAUUAUGCACAGAUGUCAAGGGAUGGGAGUAGUUUAUGAAAAAAAGAAUCCAUUAUAUUUUAUUUUAAAAAAGCAUUGUUCAGGGAGCUUACGGAAAAUAUAACACUAAUUGAGGCUAUGAGUUGUAAUCCAGUUUCCCAUCUGGACGCAUGAUGAGGCCAGCAAUCCAUUAGCUUGUCUUGAAGCAAAAGCUGAUUGAGAGGAAGCAAAGCUGCCCAACACAACCCUGUUACUCAGUGUUUCAAAACUGUUACUAAGUUAUUGAAAACAACAACAACAACAAAACCCUAUCAAAUCAGUCACACAAACAGUGGAAUGGCAGAAAUAGCAUGCCUUUCUACUGCUUGCAAGACCUGAGGAAGAAGGAAGCCUGCAUGUUUCUUUGAUAUGUGCUGUAUUUUAUUAUUCUGUAUUUUUUAAAGAAAUGCUGGCUUUUUUUAGCAGAAGACACUGAGUGGUGAGAUAACCCUACAACAAUGUCAUCUGCUUCCAGAAACUACUCCUUCUAGAUAGCUUUCAGCACAGCUGUUUCAAGUCUGCUUUAGAUCUCAGCUCAAGUGUAAAGCUAUGGAAAUCCUGCCACUGACUUCAACAGGAGCUGGGCUGCACCCUGAAAGUCUUCAUGUGAACUUCCAUUAAGGAGAAGCUGCAUAUUAGGCAAGUCUGCAUCUGUGCAGAUGAAUCACUGCUAUUGCCCAAUGGCCAGUGGAAGCUACAGCUGGGGGCAGACUGCAUGAAGGUAAAGGGCUUGAAAUGACUAAAGGCUAAAAUGUCCGUCCUCUAUCUCCAACAGAGGAAGUUAUACUGCUGAAGAAACAGAAGUCUCACUUCCUUCUUUUAAAUCAAUAAUAGAUGUGAGAGAACAAUAUUGGUCCAUGACAGGUCUAAAUACUUAUAGUGUCACCAACCAGCAUCACAGCUGGUUUUUGCACUCACCUAUGAUACUGAGUAUAUAUUUUGUCCUCCUGACAAAUAUUUUUUGAUAUAUUUGUCUCAAUUCUGAAAACCUUUCUCCUAUGGGAGUUUUUUCACAGACCCAAGGGCCAGUUGAACUUUGAGCGUUGUAAACACUUGAACCCCAACAGCCAAUGAAAAGCUCAAACGCUCAGCUCAUCUUCUGGGAAUUCAUUCAAAGUCUUAAAGCAAAACUGAGAGGUAAUAGCCCCACGAGCAGAGCCAAACCAUGUAAAACAAUCCCACAGGGAGAAAGUGCUAUUGGAUUUUACACUGCCUGUUUACACUAUCACCUGUGCAUUCAAUUUUCUGAAAAGCUCAAACCAAUCUAGGCUAAGGACUCAGGCAAACACUCUGUAUGCCACGGUUUAUUUGGUGUUAGCCUUCCCCCUCUCGCACAGAAGCCUCAGCUACCAUGUGCUGCAGGAGACCUCACAUAGCUGACUCCUGCAGUCUAGCUGAGAUGCAAUGAGCCAGCCAUGGUAGGCUAGUUCUGGGCCCAGCAGAUUGUUUCACUGAUGAUCAUUUCUGCUUACGGAGUUGAAAAUUCUGCUUUCUAGUCUGCUCUGAAUAGCAGAUAGUCCAAGAUGAUGGGAAAAAUUUAAUAGAGAAUUUGAGGAGAGGUCCACCCACAGAGGGUUUGCAGCAGCAGAGUAUGGCUUGGCACUAAAAUGGCACCAAUACUGCUCUCUGGGAAGAUGAAAUAAUACAGGGCAAUGUUUCCCCAUAGGAAGGGAUCAAACAUCCUGUAUGAAAAAGGCACUUACUGGAGCGAGUCUAGAACUGAGGAGAUGGAACUGUUUGCGCUGGUACCCCUGUGGAGCACAGCUGCUCCCUCCAACUCUUUAGGUCUCAUACAUAUUGCAAUUCAAGACUAUGACAAAAAAUGUUAUCUUUUCCACCUUUCCUACAUCUUAAUUUAAAUAAAUAAGUAAAUUUAAGCAGUAAACAACAGAAAAAAAAAACACUCUAGGAAGUUGUUUUUUCUUCUCAUUAUGGAAUUGAAACACAGUGCUUCACAGUUACAACUAGAUAUUGUAGCUUGAAGGCUUCUUUGGGAACUCUCUUCCUCAAAUGUAAUUAAUCCACAUGAAUCUCCCUUAACUACACAGCAGAUACAACUACCAGCCACCAGUGUCUUCAAAUUUAAGUAGAAAGUACAGAGCAGGGCACAAAAUCCACAUAAAAACACUCCUUAUCUUAUCAUGCUGCAGUAAUCUGUUGCCUCUCUUUUUUAUUAUCAGUAAUUUCAAUUGUACCCAGAUGUUCAAAACCCGUUAUAAACAGAACUUAAGAAUCAGUGGGGAAGGAGCCAACUCAGUUUUCUCAAUGUUUACUCUAGGGAGUAGCUUUUGGUUUGAGUGAAGCUACCCUGGUUUAUGAAACUGUCACAUGAAAGUAAGAAUAGGCACAACAUCUCCACAACUUCUAAUCUAAUCUUUCACCCUUGAAGAAAUGUAUAUACACUAACAUCUUUUGUAACAACAAGCUGUGUCCUGGAAAUCAGUGAUACUGUGAUCCUGAGAUAGUUAUCCCUACACGCGUGAGCAUCCGUGUCCUAAGGCAGGAACACAAACAAAAGCUAGUAACUAGUGGCAGAAACAAACGUAGAAGAUAAAUGGUACCAGGCACAUAGCUGGAAGUCGCAUACAUCAGCCUGAUGUGGAAACAAACAAACAAACAAACAAACAAAACAAACCAAAAUGCUAUGUAUUUUUCCUAUUUGUUAAAGUAAUUGAAGAGUAAUGUUGAAAUCACAGAAUCACAGAAUGUCAAGGAUUGGAAGGGACCUCGAAAGAUUAUCUAGCCCAAUCCCCCUGCUGGAGCAGGAACACCAAGAUUAGGUCACAGAGGAACGUGUCCAGGUGGGAUGUGAAUGUCUCCAGAGGAGACCCCACAAUCUCUUUGUUCCAGAAUUGAAAUACUAAUAGAAAUAGAAGAUUGAUAUCCAGAAGUCAUAGAGAGGAAGAGACAUUUGAAAAUCAGUUGAGCAGCACUUUGCAAAAUAUUGUGUCUAGGAAUUAGAAAAUUAAAGUAAUCACACAAACCACAUUUUUAUCACAGAACUCAUGCCUUCAGAAACAGACCUAUUAAAAUCUGAUGAGACAGGUUUGAUUACUUGCCUCAUUCCUGGAACGCUGGAGUUCAAUACGUAAUUUUAAAAGCAUGCUCAGCUGAGCACUGACAAGGGAGAAAAAGACUAGUACCCCAUCCAUCAGUCACCUUCAGAGGUCAAUGAAAGGCAGCUAAUUAGAGAUGAAAAGUUAGAAGCAGCACAGGUUUGUUAUUUUAGGAAAUUUGUUUUGCAGUAACAGGUGUUAUAUGUCAAGAGUAAGUUACAUCUCAACCUCAAACAUGAUAACCAGCAUAAGUCUACACCACUGCAUUUCCUCUGUUUCAAGGCAACAGCUCAUGCAGAACCAGCAAGAGGAUUUACCUGGUGAUUUGGAACAAACCUCAGCCUUAACGGAUUUUGUAGUUGUAGGUUAUACUACAGAAAAAGUUCAUGUAGAUAGUUUUACAAUGAAUGUGUGUGCAUGCAUGCAGGUAACUAUUGGUCAAGAAAUAUUCUCCAAAUCCAAAACAAAGAUUCUGCUUUCCAUCGUGGUCUGUAGUGUAUCAAGGCCAUCCACAUCUGGAGGCAGCCCAUAUAGGACAGAACUGGCAGACAUUAAGCUUUUGUUGUUAGCUUUAUACUCCGGUUGCUGGAGCAAGAAAAAAAACAUUACUUGAACCAUCUUAGAUCCAUAAAACACUGAUGUUGGGAUGUUCACAAAGAAAGCCAGGCUAUACAUUAGCAUGCAAUUUAAGUUGUGCAAAAUCAAGUCUCCUUAGGGCCCAGUUUAGAAAACAAACAGAAAAAAAAAUAUUCCAAUGGAUAAACUAACAAACAAAAAACAUACACCAUCAUUUGAGGAGUUAUAUGACUGGCUUCUAUGGUAUCUCUGACUGGUAAUCAGUAUCCUGUUAUUAAAAAAACAAAUUAGGGACCUAUAUUAGCUGUGGACUACUGCAGUUAAUUACCACUCGUCAUUUGAUGGCUCUAUUACCCACCACAUGGGUUUGACCAUUAUAUAUUCAAAAGGAAAGGGACUGCCCAGAGCUAUUAAACUGGCCUUAUUUAUUGGUUCUGGGAGAGAUUUAUGAAGCUCUGAGUGUAACCAGCUAGACGGAAACCAAAAAUCCAUUCCUUCAUCCCCUUUCACCCUCAAUGGCAGAAACAUUCACUUGUUCCUGAGAUGGUGCUCCCUAUGCAACUUGUACUACAUCCUGAUUAAUUGCUGGCUCUUCUGGGUUCCCCUCUCAGGAAACUGCAAAUCAGAUCCUGGAAGUGCAUGCUACAACAAAAUUUUCCAGGUGUCUUGCAAACACAGCAUUCAAUUCACUAGCAACUGUCUGCAGGUAAAAGAUAAAAGUUGAAGUAAAUUAGAAACUAGAUUCCUCUUUCCUGGAUUUAUCAAAUAGACUUAUUUCCAAAUGGAAUUACAAAUGUAGUAAUCAACACUAACAUGCUAAUCAUAGAAUCAUAGAAUAAUUAAGGUUGAAAAAGACCUCUAAGAUCAUCCAGUACAACCGUCAAUCCAUCACCACCAUGACCACUAAACAUGUCCCUCAGUGCCCACAUCUACGCGUUUCUUGAAAACCUCCAGGGACAGCAACUCUACCAUGUUCCUGGGCAGUCUCUUUCAAUACUUCACCAGUCUUUCUGAGAAUAAUUUUUUCCCAAUAUUCUGCUUGAACCUCCCUGGACUCAGCCCUGGCAUUGGCUCACAGAGGCCCCCGCUGUUUACUACGUGAUUCCUAGUGAAAAGUCUCCUGAAUGUUGGGCAGUGGGAUUGAGCAUCACAGCUGAGCGAGAAUGUCUGAAGCUCCCCUCAUUCUCAGUGGGCCACAGAAUAAAGUAUCAGUUAAGUGGUUCCAAAUGAGGCAGAAGGUCUUUUCUUUUUUCUUUUUUUUAAAACAAAACAAAAAUAUUAUUAAUACAGAUGUAAACAUGCACUUCAAAUGUGACCUGCACAGAGGUUAGGUGCAGGCUCUCUCUACUCCUAAGUGGUAUCUGCUUUCAUCUGGCAGCUCUGCAGAAAUUAAGCACUCAUGAAAUGCUACAAAUUUCACACCAUGAUGGCACUGUGGUGGAUGAAGCACAGUGCGUCAUGAUGAUGUUUUUUUCACAGAAGCACAGAAUUGCAGGGGUUGGAAGAGAUCCCAAGAGAUUAUUGAGUCCAACCCCCCUGCUAAAGCAGGUACCCUACAUUAGGUCAUACAGGUAGGUGUUUUGUGGCCUGUAUCUACUGUUUAAUAUAAUGGCAUAAGCAUUUUCAUAGCAUCCUUUACAGUGCACCAAAUUACUUUGAGAUAGUAUUAAAUUAUCCAAUAUGAAAUCACUUAAAAUCAAAGAGUGAAACAUGAUUUUUUGAGAAAACAGAAAGCUACCUACUCAUAACCAGUCUUCCAAUGUCCUUCCAUUCCUUCUCCCUUGUAAUCACCCUUUCAGCACUUCAAAAUAUCUGGAGUUGGUUCAGUACUAAGGCAGGACCAAGUAACCCAUGGGCAGUACAUGACUGGAAUGGGAUCGGUUAAAGCUUGGAAUCCGCAUUCCAAAAGUUGGGAAUAUCCAUGCCAGUACACAGCUUUAUGCACAUGUGGUCUGGACUGAAAACUCAUGAGCACUUUUACUAGCACUAGGCAUGCUAAAUUUGCUCAUUUUUCUUUUUUUGUUCUUCAUAAGGCAGCGAAUUAGCUCCAUCUGACUAGCUCUACUAUUUAGAGUAGCUUGUCUAGGGUAAAUAGAAUGUCAAAAAUAUUAUUGAAAAUAUUUGUUCAAUGAAAGAUAAGUGAAAACAAAUUAAUCUGCUAUGAAUGAAGAGGAAGGGAAAAACAGAUAUUAUCAGAAUGUGUAAUUAAGCUCCAAAUGAAAGGAUAUUGUUUUUCCUCAUCACGACUGUUUUGUUAAGAUGCACUUCAGGGGCACAAAAUCACAAGUGGCAGGCCAUGAAAUGUGAUGUCUCUCUGAAAACAAAUUCCCAUUGUGUGAUCAAAGGAAGAUAAGCGCUGAGGCGUGAGUCUGGUAAAAUUUAUGAAACAACUUUGCUUCCCACAUUAAAUCACAGGCUUGCAGCUUUCCUCCAUGGGUUUACAAAGCCUAUGACCUGUGAAAACCUUUUUUUCAAAAAAUUUCUUUGAAAGUCUACUAUAUUCAUGAGAUACACUUGAGCAGCUUUAAUCUUUCUAAUCAGAAUUUGAUGUUACUGCUUCUUUCUUCAGAAGGCACUGAUUAUCUGUAUUGUUACUGCACUCAGCUAUGGUCUGUGCUGUUACACCUCGUGCUAGUGAAAAGCAAAUUGGAUAAAGCUGUCAUAACAUAUGCUUUUUUCUACAGCUUCUGGAUUCCUUCAGUUCAGAUUCUACAGUAAUUUGACAAGUCAAUAUGAAAUUGCUGAGAUUCAUUCUUUAAAUCUAGGUGCUUAGAGUCUGAUCAUGUGUCUAGGGAACCACAAGGAGUCUUUCCUCUGAUUUUAAUAGGUUCAUGAAAAUUUUCUUUAUUGUGCUCACACAUACUACUUGCAAAAAAACCACAGGCCUCUAUCAGUUGCAUAUCUAGUCUCUUAUAUGAAAUUAUUCUUUAUUCACCAAUGUAAAUCAUGCUUAUGCUUAUAAACUGUGGAGUUGUUCCAAAGCUCAGUAAGCUGACAGAAUAGUGAUCACAGAAUCAUAGAAUGGCUUGGGCUGGAAGGGAUCCCAAGUUCC